GUGCUCGCUUCGGCAGUACAUAUACUAAAAUUGGAAUAAUGCAGAGAAGAUUAGCAUGGCCCCAUGCGCAAGAAUGACACGCAAAUUAGUGAAGCAUUCCAUACUUUU